rnacentral:misc_RNA from 1 species
UUAAGUUCAGCGGGUAGUCCUACCUGAUUUGAGGUCAAAUGGUCAAGUAGAGGUUGUCUCAAAGAGACGGCUGUGAGCAGAGCACAUGCUUGUCUGUGACCUGGUAAGAGUUCCCAUCAUUACCAAGCUGCAGUUUCGCAUACAAAGGCCCUGCUAAUGGAUUUCAGAAGAGCUGACCCAAAGGGCCAGCAACUCCCAUG